GAUGAACGCUGACAGAAUGCUUAACACAUGCAAGUCGAUGGGGAAGUGGUGCUUGCACCAUGGCAACCAUGGCGGACGGGUGAGUAACGCGUAAGGGACUUACCUGCAGGACUGGGAUAACAGGGGGAAACUCCUGACAAGACCGGAUAAUGUCAUGGAGCUGCAUGGCUUUAUGAUGAAAGGAGACGCCGGCGGAGAGCCUUGCGUCCUAUUAGCGAGUUGGUGAGGUAAUGGCUCACCAAGUCGAAGAUAGGUAGCCGGCCUGAGAGGGUGGACGGCCACAAGGGGACUGAGAUACGGCCCUUACUCCUACGGGAGGCAGCAGUGGGGAAUAUUGGACAAUGGGGGCAACCCUGAUCCAGCAAUUCUGUGUGCACGAAGAAGGUUUUCGGAUUGUAAAGUGCUUUCAGCAGGGAAGAAGUAAGUGACGGUACCUGCAGAAGAAGCGACGGCUAAAUACGUG
rnacentral:rRNA from 1 species